rnacentral:rRNA from 1 species
CCCUUAGAUGUUCUGGGCAGCACGCGCGCUACAAUGGUCUUCGCAAACGGAUGCAUUCUCGAAGGAGAAUGCCAAUCUUGGAAUCUAUGCCUUGGUCGGGACAGUUGCUUGCAAUUUUUCGACUCGAACCAGGAAUUCCUUGUAAUCGUGAUUCAUCACAUCACGAUGAAUACGUCCCUACCCUUUGUACACACCGCCCGUCGCUCCUACCGAUCGAAGAGUUAGGUGAAUUGUUUUGAUCGAUAAGAUUUGACUAUGGUCAACUCUCGUUGUGAAAUUCUGUGAAUCUGACUGUUUAGAGGAAGGAAAAGUCGUAACA